rnacentral:rRNA from 1 species
UACGAAUGGAGCGAGCGUUGUUCGGAAUCACUGGGCGUAAAGCGUGCGCAGGCGGCUAUGAAAGUCAGGAGUGAAAUCCCAGGGCUUAACCCUGGAAUUGCUUUUGAAACUCCAUAGCUAGAGUACUGGAGAGGUUGGCGGAAUUCCGAGUGUAGAGGUGAAAUUCGCAGAUAUUCGGAGGAACACCAAUGGCGUAGGCAGCCAACUGGACAGUAACUGACGCUCAUGCACGAAAGCGUGGGGAUCAAACAGG